rnacentral:tRNA from 1 species
UUAGAAAAAGUGUACUGCAUAUUAUCUUUGGAAGAUAAAGGUUAAUUCUUUCUGAA